UGCGUAGGCGGACUAAUAAGUCAGUGGUGAAAUCUCUCGGCUCAACCGGGAAACUGCCAUUGAUACUAUUAGUCUUGAGUUCGGUUGAGGUAGGCGGAAUGUGUAAUGUAGCGGUGAAAUGCUUAGAUAUUACACAGAACACCAAUUGCGUAGGCAGCUUACUAGACCGACACUGACGCUGAGGCACGAAAGCGUGGGUAGCGAACAGGAUUAGAUACCCUGGUAGUC
rnacentral:rRNA from 1 species